AACGCACAUUGCGCCCGCCAGCAUCCUGGCGGGCAUGCCUGUUCGAGCGUCAUUGCAACCCUCAGGCUCGGCCUGGUGUUGGGGUCCUGCGCCACGCAGACCCCGGAAGACAGCGGCGGCGCCGCCUCCGGCCCCGAGCGUAGUAGCUUACCCCGCUCUGGGUGCCGGGCGGCCGCCCGCCGGAAAACAACCCCUCUUCGUGGUUGACCUCGGAUCAGGUAGGAAUACCCGCUGAACUUAA
rnacentral:misc_RNA from 1 species